UAUAAAACAUUUAUUUUCUCAGUUAUGGACAUUGAGUUACUUGAUUUUGAGUAAUGCAGUCAUUUUUCGUGCAUUUAUUAUUUUCCUUUGAUGCCAAUCAGGUUUCCAUUUAUAUAUUAUCAGUAGUCUUUUAAGCAAAUGGCCAGGCUUAAGGAAACUAUUCGUUUUAUUAUUAUUAUACAUUACAAUCCGCAUAUGUAUAAAAAGAUGAAAAUGAAAGUGAUGGAAUGUUACCACUCUCUAGAAAUAAUAAAAAGUAUAAUAUAAUCUUAUAAGAAUUUUUUUAUUAAAAUGGAAUGUAAUCAAUGGCCCCAAAAUAAUAUGAUUUGCUGUCUCUGAAACAGGUGAGUACAACAAAGUAGGAACCUCACUUUUAAUUUAAAGCUUUAAUUUAAAAAGACAACAUUCUUAAACUUAAAGCUGAGAAAGCAUUGGAUAUCCUAUGCUAGUGCUUUUCUUCUAUUAGGUGAAUGAACACCAGGAGUCGUCAGCAUUGUAUGUGGAGGAAGAAUGAAUGUAUUGCAGUGUUUGACUCAAAAUAUUUUAAAAUUUAUUUUGUUAGAACAAGUUCACAAACAUGGAAGCUUCUCUGGAUUCAAACUAUUUGCAAACUCCAUGGGUAACUUUCCUUUCCAUCCAGUGUAUUACUCUACCACAGGAAACCAAAUUUCUUUUUAUAAUAUACACUUAAUAGGAAAUGCAAUUUCAGGUAUUUUUCAAAGGGCUAAAUAUGGAAGGCUUAAUGGAGUGACACUACAGGUUAUAUAUGUCAUAAAAUAGGAAAAGGAACUGGACCAAGUAACAGUUUCUGAAAGGAAGGAAAAGGGUUGGAGAUAUAGUUGAGUUGGUAGAGCUUGCCUAAUAUGUAUAAAUUCUUCAAUUUGAUUCCCAGUGCCAGGGACUCAAAGUGAGAUGAAUAUCUGUAAGCCUAACAUUUGAGAGACAAACUAUGGCUUAAGGACAGAGUAUGGUUACAGGAGUGUUUGUCUGGAAACAAAGUAUGAAAACAUAUUGAAAUCCCGUUCUAUCCAUAUAAGUUUCCUUCUAAUUUUAAUCUGGAAUGUGUGAAUUUUGGUGAAAAUCUUUUAUUAUUGUUUUGAAAUAGUAAAAGAUUUUCACCACCACACUUAUGUUGAAGAAAUAAAGGAGUGAGACUCUCCUAAUGGAUGAGAUGUCUGUAAGUAUAUUUGUGGGGAGAAGGGAGUUGAGAAUCUUCAGUAAUGGAUCAUCCAUUCAUUAUAAUCCUAAUAAUCUGACUGGCUCCAUGAGGUGAAGAAGAAGGAGAAGAAGAAGAAGAAGAAGAAGAAG
rnacentral:lncRNA from 1 species